UCUUCCUGUAUUCAAAAGUUUUUCUCAAGUUUUAUAUUUUUCUUAGUGAGAGAGUGUUGUCGUAGUUCUGUUCGCCAAAUCUACUCAGUAGGUGUAUUGUUAUAGCUGGUCCAAUCAUCAUAUCCUAGGAGACAGACGUCGAAGAACCUUCAGCACUAGUGUAGGCUUCGAUUUGCUGCUUUUUUGCUAUUUUAUAUUAAGAAUAAAAUAACAAUUUUGCCCUUUAAAUAUUUGACAAACCCACCAACGCAGCAGCAGUCCAAGACUAUUAUACCAACUCUCUUUGUCGCCGACCGUCAAACACUUCUGACAGAUGGCUUCCUUUAUGUCCACUGGCACGUCAACAUGGCCAUGACGAAUGUGUGCCUGUGGCUAUCGCCACUGUUUUGUGAAGGUAUCGAGAUCUCACAAAAAUCCUGAUCGUGCAUAUUACGUUUGCCCCCAGCCAGUGCAAUGUGUAAAUUGGAUUGGUUGAUGUGACAAAUUAGGGAGACGAAGCCCCAACUAUGACUCAUCCACAAACGAAGUCAUGCAGUUACGGAAUGAUGUCGUGCAAAUUGAACAAACAUUUCAUACAAACAAGAUAACAGCCAAGUUCAAUAUGAAACCAGGAGCACGAGGAUGCGAGAAGUGUUCACAAGUGCAACUAUGAUUGGGAAACAUCAUUGGACCCCCGACGAGAAGGUUGUGGAUGUUGGCGAUGGUUAAUCCAAUUCAAUUGACUUUGCUAGGUUGCAACCAUUUUUGAAGCCUUACAAACUGGUGUUUAACACGCCUCCCAACUCCCCUAACGUCGACAUUAAGGGUGAUCGCGAAUCGAGUUAGGUCGAAUGGCAUCCCAUCCACCAUCCAUCCAAAAUUAGGUGGAUUGAAAAAAAUUAAUUCACAUCCGUCCACCAGAUUGGUAGAUGUAGAUUAAGCGGGCCGUACAGGUUGGCUAAUAGAUGCGAUCGGUUUGGCAGUUUGAACUUUACAAACUUUGACCAUUUUUUUGAAUUAUAAUUCAUAACUUUUACAAUCUCCAAUAACUAGUAAUCUAAAAAAAUAUGUAUUAUUUGUCUAUAAUAGGCCACGGCACCACGCAUGCAUAUUUUUAAGGUAUUAUUUUUUAUUUUCACAAAAAUAUAUAUAUUAUUAUUUCUAUUCUAUGUUGUUACUUGUUAGUAGUUUCUUUUAUUUCUUUUUCUUUGAACUUCAUCUACAGAUAGAUCGGGUUCAUGCAUGUGUGGAAUGGUUGAUCCGUUAUUCAAACCAUAUCCGCAGAUUUUGAAAUAUUUCAUCUACAUCCAUCCGUUAAAAGACACGCAUCCACCCAAAAUCAAUCGAGUUAGGUCAGGUUGAUCGAUUUGAGCAGGUUGGACGAAUCCAUGAUCACCCCUAGUCAACAUUGAUGAAGCAGCCCAGGGACAGAGGAAGAGGGGGUAGUACAAGUGGAAAGUCGAAGAAGAUGUCAAGUGGAGCAUUAGUGCUUGUGGAUAGUUCCAACCAUCUGUCUGAGGCCGUUUGGUCACAAAAACACCUCACAGUAAGGCACGAAACUAGUGCAUCUCAUAAGUAUGGCAUUGAGGCAUGUAUGCAGAGGAUUAUGGCUAUACCCAGCUUUAUCAGUACCCCUUAUUCCAUUUUUCCUACAUUGCUUUAGAGAACGCAAAUUAUCGGGAGAUACUGAUAUACAUGCCUGAUGAUGGGAAUUUGGUCACGUGACUUGCGGCAUUGAAGGACUCAAAAGGAAUGUGACUUCUUGGGUUUACUGGUUUCUGAGAAAAUAGGCAUACCAACUGUUUUGGGUUAGGAUGGUUUUUAUGGAAUGGAUGUGUUGUUAUGUUGUUUUUUAUUUCAAGUUUGUUAUUAUUAUUAUAGUUGCUUUAAUUUUGUUUUAUGGGUGAAUUGAGGCAAAUGCUACCUUUUAAACGUUUUAAGUAGAUAGACGAAAUUAAUGGUUUGUGGAAGGUGCUCAAUUUAUUUUGUGAAUUGACAACUUUAGUAGUUGGUUUUUAUAGUAGUUAUUACAAUUUUGUUUGGCAAAAUUUGUGGAUAUAU